AGAGUUUGAUCCUGGCUCAGGAUGAACGCUGACAGAAUGCUUAACACAUGCAAGUCUACUUGAUCCUUCGGGUGAUGGUGGCGGACGGGUGAGUAACGCGUAAAGAACUUGCCUUGCAGUCUGGGACAACGUCUGGAAACGGACGCUAAUACCGGAUAUUAUGAUUGAAUCGCAUGAUUUGAUUAUGAAAGCUAUAUGCGCUGCGAGAGAGCUUUGCGUCCCAUUAGUUAGUUGGUGAGGUAACGGCUCACCAAGACGAUGAUGGGUAGCCGGCCUGAGAGGGUGAACGGCCACAAGGGGACUGAGACACGGCCCUUACUCCUACGGGAGGCAGCAGUGGGGAAUAUUGGACAAUGGACCAAAAGUCUGAUCCAGCAAUUCUGUGUGCACGAUGAAGUUUUUCGGAAUGUAAAGUGCUUUCAGUUGGGAAGAAGAAAGUGACGGUACCAACAGAAGAAGCGACGGCUAAAUACGUGCCAGCAGCCGCGGUAAUACGUAUGUCGCAAGCGUUAUCCGGAUUUAUUGGGCGUAAAGCGCGUCUAGGCGGUUUGGUAAGUCUGAUGUGAAAAUGCGGGGCUCAACUCCGUAUUGCGUUGGAAACUGCCAAACUAGAGUACUGGAGAGGUAGGCGGAACUACAAGUGUAGAGGUGAAAUUCGUAGAUAUUUGUAGGAAUGCCGAUGGGGAAGCCAGCCUACUGGACAGAUACUGACGCUAAAGCGCGAAAGCGUGGGUAGCAAACAGGAUUAGAUACCCUGGUAGUCCACGCCGUAAACG
rnacentral:rRNA from 1 species